UACGUAGGUGGCAAGCGUUGUCCGGAUUUAUUGGGUUUAAAGGGUGCGUAGGCGGCCUUGUAAGUCAGUGGUGAAAUACUCUAGCUUAACUAGAGGGGUGCCAAUGAUACUGCAGGGCUUGAGUACAGAUGAGGUAGGCGGAAUUGACGGUGUAGCGGUGAAAUGCAUAGAUAUCGUCAAGAACACCUAUAGCGAAGGCAGCUUACUGGGCUGUAACUGACGCUGAGGAGCGAAAGUGUGGGGAGCGAACAGG
rnacentral:rRNA from 1 species